rnacentral:rRNA from 1 species
GCCUAAUACAUGCAAGUCGAGCGGACAGAUGGGAGCUUGCUCCCUGAUGUUAGCGGCGGACGGGUGAGUAACACGUGGGUAACCUGCCUGUAAGACUGGGAUAACUCCGGGAAACCGGGGCUAAUACCGGAUGGUUGUUUGAACCGCAUGGUUCAAACAUAAAAGGUGGCUUCGGCUACCACUUACAGAUGGACCCGCGGCGCAUUAGCUAGUUGGUGAGGUAACGGCUCACCAAGGCAACGAUGCGUAGCCGACCUGAGAGGGUGAUCGGCCACACUGGGACUGAGACACGGCCCAGACUCCUACGGGAGGCAGCAGUAGGGAAUCUUCCGCAAUGGACGAAAGUCUGACGGAGCAACGCCGCGUGAGUGAUGAAGGUUUUCGGAUCGUAAAGCUCUGUUGUUAGGGAAGAACAAGUACCGUUCGAAUAGGGCGGUACCUUGACGGUACCUAACCAGAAAGCCACGGCUAACUACGUGCCAGCAGCCGCGGUAAUACGUAGGUGGCAAGCGUUGUCCGGAAUUAUUGGGCGUAAAGGGCUCGCAGGCGGUUUCUUAAGUCUGAUGUGAAAGCCCCCGGCUCAACCGGGGAGGGUCAUUGGAAACUGGGGAACUUGAGUGCAGAAGAGGAGAGUGGAAUUCCACGUGUAGCGGUGAAAUGCGUAGAGAUGUGGAGGAACACCAGUGGCGAAGGCGACUCUCUGGUCUGUAACUGACGCUGAGGAGCGAAAG